rnacentral:rRNA from 1 species
AGAGUUUGAUCAUGGCUCAGGACGAACGCUGGCGGCGUGCCUAAUACAUGCAAGUCGAACGAACUCUGGUAUUGAUUGGUGCUUGCAUCAUGAUUUACAUUUGAGUGAGUGGCGAACUGGUGAGUAACACGUGGGAAACCUGCCCAGAAGCGGGGGAUAACACCUGGAAACAGAUGCUAAUACCGCAUAACAACUUGGACCGCAUGGUCCGAGUUUGAAAGAUGGCUUCGGCUAUCACUUUUGGAUGGUCCCGCGGCGUAUUAGCUAGAUGGUGGGGUAACGGCUCACCAUGGCAAUGAUACGUAGCCGACCUGAGAGGGUAAUCGGCCACAUUGGGACUGAGACACGGCCCAAACUCCUACGGGAGGCAGCAGUAGGGAAUCUUCCACAAUGGACGAAAGUCUGAUGGAGCAACGCCGCGUGAGUGAAGAAGGGUUUCGGCUCGUAAAACUCUGUUGUUAAAGAAGAACAUAUCUGAGAGUAACUGUUCAGGUAUUGACGGUAUUUAACCAGAAAGCCACGGCUAACUACGUGCCAGCAGCCGCGGUAAUACGUAGGUGGCAAGCGUUGUCCGGAUUUAUUGGGCGUAAAGCGAGCGCAGGCGGUUUUUUAAGUCUGAUGUGAAAGCCUUCGGCUCAACCGAAGAAGUGCAUCGGAAACUGGGAAACUUGAGUGCAGAAGAGGACAGUGGAACUCCAUGUGUAGCGGUGAAAUGCGUAGAUAUAUGGAAGAACACCAGUGGCGAAGGCGGCUGUCUGGUCUGUAACUGACGCUGAGGCUCGAAAGUAUGGGUAGCAAACAGGAUUAGAUACCCUGGUAGUCCAUACCGUAAACGAUGAAUGCUAAGUGUUGGAGGGUUUCCGCCCUUCAGUGCUGCAGCUAACGCAUUAAGCAUUCCGCCUGGGGAGUACGGCCGCAAGGCUGAAACUCAAAGGAAUUGACGGGGGCCCGCACAAGCGGUGGAGCAUGUGGUUUAAUUCGAAGCUACGCGAAGAACCUUACCAGGUCUUGACAUACUAUGCAAAUCUAAGAGAUUAGACGUUCCCUUCGGGGACAUGGAUACAGGUGGUGCAUGGUUGUCGUCAGCUCGUGUCGUGAGAUGUUGGGUUAAGUCCCGCAACGAGCGCAACCCUUAUUAUCAGUUGCCAGCAUUAAGUUGGGCACUCUGGUGAGACUGCCGGUGACAAACCGGAGGAAGGUGGGGAUGACGUCAAAUCAUCAUGCCCCUUAUGACCUGGGCUACACACGUGCUACAAUGGAUGGUACAACGAGUUGCGAACUCGCGAGAGUAAGCUAAUCUCUUAAAGCCAUUCUCAGUUCGGAUUGUAGGCUGCAACUCGCCUACAUGAAGUCGGAAUCGCUAGUAAUCGCGGAUCAGCAUGCCGCGGUGAAUACGUUCCCGGGCCUUGUACACACCGCCCGUCACACCAUGAGAGUUUGUAACACCCAAAGUCGGUGGGGUAACCUUUUAGGAACCAGCCGCCUAAGGUGGGACAGAUGAUUAGGGUGAAGUCGUAACAAGGUAGCCGUAGGAGAACCUGCGGUUGGA